rnacentral:sRNA from 1 species
UUCUAGCCCCGAUAGCAGCGGCAUCCUCUUGUGGCUCGUUUCUUUAACGAGGCACAAGAGAUAGAGCGGAUAGCGGGUGAAAAU